UACGUAGGGGGCUAGCGUUGUCCGGAAUCAUUGGGCGUAAAGAGCGUGUAGGCGGCCCUGUAAGUCCGUUGUGAAAGUCGAAGGCUCAACCUUCGAAAGCCGAUGGAUACUGCAGGGCUAGAGUCCGGAAGAGGCGAGUGGAAUUCCUGGUGUAGCGGUGGAAUGCGCAGAUAUCAGGAGGAACACCAAUAGCGAAGGCAGCUCGCUGGGACGGUACUGACGCUAAGGCGCGAAAGCGUGGGGAGCGAACAGG
rnacentral:rRNA from 1 species